AACAGAAUUUUGAAGUGUGUAACAGAAUUUUGAAAAAUUCUACUAUCACUUUAUAGAAAAUAGUCUUGCAUAAAUUAUUUGAAUGAUUCAAAUCAUUGCGACUUACAACUCAGGGCUGAUGCCAAUAUUUGUCCAGUACUCUUUAAAAUGAUCAAAUUGAUAUGUGUAGACAGAAACGAGAACGAUCAUUGAAUAAAUUAUGACAGUUAACCAAAAUUCAUACAUCAUUUUCCGCCAAAUGUGCCAAGAUAGCUGAAACAAAUAAUUGUCAUUGUAGUCUUUUGUAUGUUACUGAUUAAGAUGAGGUUAAAUUUCUUUUUGUGAGGUAGAAUUUAGGAAAUAUUCCAUUACAAUCUCUUGGAUAUACCGAAAGAGGAAUAGUUUAUUAGGUGAAAUCGUUCUAAAAGUAUUAUGAUAACAAUGAAAAAGUCUGAUAUUACCUCAUUAUAAGUCACUUUUGGCGCAAGGUAUUUUUUAGGUGUUUUGAAAUAGGGGUAAACUUCACACUUUUCCAAUACAAGUAUAAACAUUUUUGAAAAAUUCUGAAUGAAGAACAAAUAUUCAUACGGCUCUAAUCAGCGAUCAUCAUUGGCUCAUUUUCAAGGCAUCAGAUUUUUUUUCACCUGCACAGUAAUGCUUGUCAACUUAACUUUUGCCGUAGAAUUGAUAAUUCUCAAGAAAUGUUGAAAUCAUUUCUAACGCACACAGGAAAAACAGAAAAAUUGCUCCAAAUUUUUCAGAAAUCAUGUGUUAAUUUUCUUCUAUCAACUUAAAAAAUUACCUGGAACGUGAGAAUGAAAACAAGGGCAAGAGCCAUGUAAAUGAUGCGAAAAAUUGUCAUUCUGUCUCCAUUAUACCAAUGGCAAAAAGAAUUUGCGCAACAACCCAGAUCCAAAACUUUGUUAAAAAUGAGCGAAUUCUCUCUCCCACUUGUUUCAUCACUUGACUUCCUUUUGUAUGCACACCAGGAUCCAUUGCUGACACUUUUUUUGCUUCACGCUUUUCUUCGAUGUAUUGUCGUAGAGUUAAGAGGAACAUUGAAGUAAAUAAAGUCUGUAAAAGAAGAAAUGUAUUCAUCUGAGUCAUUUGGAAUGAGCUCUGGUAUUGACUUCCCUCUUAAUAUGGAGGGAAUUCUGGAGGGAAAUAGAAUAAUCCAUCCUCUGCUUUUGAACAUCAAAAUGACGAUAUAAAGCUCCUAUUUCAACUUUCACCCCUAUCAGGCACAAAAGACUUGAAAAAUUGACAAACUCUCUUAGACUAUCGAUAAUAAUUAAGAUUUGAAAACCAUGAGGGUAGAUUAUUUUUAAAGGGAAUUAUUAACAUUCUCAGAUCUAUUAACUUCACAACGAUUAUAAAUUUGAAGCAAUGCCUGCUAAAAGGCUAAACCCAGAAACUCAUGAGCCAUGGUUUUUGUUGAUUACGCAGGAUGCUAGGGCUCAUGCAUUUUUAGACUUAUGCUCUUUUAUGGCAACAUAGUGUGUGAUGACAGCUUCUUUGAUGGUUACAAAAAUGAGUUCAAACACAUACAUACAAAAAACACUGUUUAAAAUUGAACGAGUUUAGGGUCGAAUGGGUUACAUACUUUGAUUAGAAUAUUUUUCACAGGGACCGGAGAGUUUUUAUCUGCGUUCUUGAUAUUGUCGUGUCCAAGAUGCUCCAAAUCUAGAAAACCUAAUUCGUACAGGUAUUGAGACAGAAGAAGAAGUUCAGCAUACAGAACGAGGAAUGGCGAGGAACGUAACAUAAUUUUGCGUUGGUUUGGAAGCAUCCACAAAAUGAUUGCCCAUAUUAAAAGAACGAACGUGAGCCAGCUGUGAAACAUGAUGCUCCAAGACUGAAAAUAAAAGCAAUCACAACAUUCAUUUUUUUAUUUCAAAUUGAAAUUUUGAAUUAUUUAAACUAAAUUUCACUGAGAAAUAAUUU
rnacentral:lncRNA from 1 species